UUACCCGCUGAACUUAA
rnacentral:rRNA from 6 species